AGCGAACGCUGGCGGCAGGCCUAACACAUGCGAGUCGAACGCCCCUUCGGGGGAGUGGCGGACGGGUGAGUAACGCGUGGGAACGUGCCCUUUGGUACGGAACAACUGAGGGAAACUUCAGCUAAUACCGUAUGUGCCCUUCGGGGAAAGAUUUAUCGCCAUAGGAGCGGCCCGCGUUGGAUUAGCUAGUUGGUGGGGUAAAGGCCCACCAAGGCUACGAUCCAUAGCUGGUCUGAGAGGAUGAUCAGCCACACUGGGACUGAGACACGGCCCAGACUCCUACGGGAGGCAGCAGUGGGGAAUCUUGCGCAAUGGGCGAAAGCCUGACGCAGCCAUGCCGCGUGUAUGAUGAAGGUCUUAGGAUUGUAAAAUACUUUCACCGGGGAAGAUAAUGACGGUACCCGGAGAAGAAGCCCCGGCUAACUUCGUGCCAGCAGCCGCGGUAAU
rnacentral:rRNA from 1 species